rnacentral:rRNA from 1 species
GGCAAUAACAGGUCUGUGAUGCCCUUAGAUGUUCCGGGCUGCACACGUGAUACAUUGAUUACUUCAGUGAGUAUCUACGUAUUACUGCGCAGCAGUAUACGCGUGUUGUUUAUUGCUUCGGCAAUUUACUUUGCGCUAUACGCCGCCUUAACCUACUUCGAAAGUAUGUGGGUAACCAAUUAGAAGUAGUGAUUUCCCUCUUUAUAAGCACACUUAUAUGGAGCAUCAUCACCCGGCAUGCCUUGUGCAUGUUUUGUGUGUGUUGUUUGUCUACAUGUGCUUUUGUCAAUUCAUAGUGGGGACAGACCAUUGUUAAUUGUUGGUCUCGGUCUUAACUAGGAAUGCCUUGUACGAGUUUUUGGUUCAACAAACCACUCGGAAUACGUCCCUGCCCUUUGUACACACCGCCCGUCGCUCUUACCGAUGGAUUAUAUUAUGAGUUGGCAGGACCGUCCAGGAAAUGC